AGCGAACGCUGGCGGCAGGCCUAAUACAUGCAAGUCGAGCGGUCCCUUCGGGGGCAGCGGCGGACGGGUGAGUAACGCGUGGGAAUGUGCCCUUUGGUACGGAACAACUGAGGGAAACUUCAGCUAAUACCGUAUGUGCCCUUCGGGGGAAAGAUUUAUCGCCAUUGGAGCAGCCCGCGUUGGAUUAGGUAGUUGGUGAG
rnacentral:rRNA from 1 species